rnacentral:rRNA from 1 species
CCUACGGGUGGCAGCAGUGGGGAAUAUUGGGCAAUGGACGAGAGCCUGAACCAGCGAAGCAGCGUGAAGGAUGACUGCCUUAUGGGUUGUAAACUCCUUUUACAUGGGAAUAAAAUGUUCCACGUGUGGGAUUUUGUAUGUACCAUAUGAAUAAGGAUCGGCCAACUCCGCGCCAGCCGCCGCGGUAAUACGGAGGAUCCGAGCGUUAUCCGGAUUUAUUGGGUUUAAAGGGAGCGUAGGGGGAUUGUUAAGUCAGUUGUGAAAGUUUGCGGCUCAACCGUAAAAUUGCAGUUGAAACUGGCAGUCUGGAGUACAGGAGAGGUAGGCGGAAUUCGUGGUGUAGCGGUGAAAUGCGUAGAUAUCACGAAGAACUCCGAUUGCGAAGGCAGUUCACUGGACUGCAACUGACGCUGAGGCUCGAAAGUGUGGGUAGCAAACAGGAUUAGAUACCCGAGUAGUC